UAGUAUACAAAGUGCUGAUCAUUAAGUGC
rnacentral:sRNA from 1 species